AUAACCAACAUUAAUUAUCCCUAGGGCCAUGGGAUAAACAAAAACUCUGCAAAACCAAGUUAGCACACCCUAGAAUGGUUCUAGCACAAUUACUAACCUAUGGCUCUGAUACCAAUUGAUGGGAAAAACCU
rnacentral:pre_miRNA from 1 species